UGCAAGUCGAACGCCCCGCAAGGGGAGUGGCAGACGGGUGAGUAACGCGUGGGAAUCUACCCAAUUCUUCGGAACAACACAUGGAAACGUGUGCUAAUACCGAAUGAGCCCUUCGGGGGAAAGAUUUAUCGGAAUUGGAUGAGCCCGCGUUGGAUUAGCUAGUUGGUGGGGUAAAGGCCUACCAAGGCGACGAUCCAUAGCUGGUCUGAGAGGAUGAUCAGCCACACUGGGACUGAGACACGGCCCAGACUCCUACGGGAGGCAGCAGUGGGGAAUAUUGGACAAUGGGCGCAAGCCUGAUCCAGCCAUGCCGCGUGAGUGAUGAAGGUCUUAGGAUUGUAAAGCUCUUUCACCGGUGAAGAUAAUGACGGUAACCGGAGAAGAAGCCCCGGCUAACUUCGUGCCAGCAGCCGCGGUAAUACGAAGGGGGCUAGCGUUGUUCGGAUUUACUGGGCGUAAAGCGCACGUAGGCGGACUUUUAAGUCAGGGGUGAAAUCCCGGGGCUCAACCCCGGAACUGCCUUUGAUACUGGAAGUCUUGAGUUCGAGAGAGGUGAGUGGAAUUGCG
rnacentral:rRNA from 1 species